AAUACAUAUUACUAUAGUAUAUAAAUGCAUUAAUAUAUAGUUUAUAUAACAUAUAAAUAUAGUAGUAUAACUAAACAUAUCCUCUUAAAUAUUUAAGACAGGUAAAUAGUUUAAUCAUCCCUUUUUUAUGUUUUUUCAAUGAGCUAAAAAAUAGAUUUUAUAGUUAAAUUCCAUUAUUUGAGCAUAUGUUUUCUUUAUUGGAAUAAAGAAUUGUAACAUGUGGUAAUAUUUAUAAUUAUGCUUAUUAUUUGUUAGGUAUACUGUAUUUGUAUUUAAGGAAACACGAGCAAAUGACCAAGAAUAAUUAAAGUAUAUUGGAAUGUUCCUUUCAAUAAUGCCUUGAUUGGUUGUGUCACCUGUGCAGUAGUUGAAAAUGGAUAUGAGUACACAAUUUCAGGACCUCCCUGCUUCCUUGUAGAUCAUUUGACCGUAUGUAAGUGAUUUAACAGUCAUGCAGUCAGAAUUGUUAGAGUAAAUAAUUUCCAUCUUCAUUACUGUAUCUUUGUAUUCGUGAACACUUGCAGGAACAUAAUAUUCUUCAGUUAAAUUUAGGCAAGUUUAAAAAAAUUAGACUAAAUAAGUAACAAAUCUAAAAAUCAAGCUAGUUUACAUAUUUGGAACUUCCAUUUUUGUAAUAUUGGUGAAUGAAUAGUUUCUUUUGAGUACUUUUUAAUUUAAAAUACCAACAAUUGAUAAAGUAUAAAUUUACUUGAGGAAUUAAUGUAGGUUUUUUGUAUGAAAACAGUCUGAUAUCAAAUUAUGAUUAUAUGUACAUUUUAACUUAGUUACAUUAUAACUUUUAAAAAAUUUUUUAGCCCAAAAAAUUGGUGAACAGAGAGUUUAUUAUUUAUUUCUAGAAAUACAACUAAAGUAGCAUGAGUAGAGAGUUUAAAAAGAAUAGUAAAACAGAUUUCUUUACAUGAUAGAUUAUAAGAAAAUGUUGGGUGCCAACACCUAAUAAGAUAUUUAAAAAUAAUACUGCUUUUAGUUAUGAAUAUUUCUGUUACUUAGUUUAUCAUAUAUCUAAUUGUAUGGUGGUUCAGAUUGAUUUGAGAUUACAAACAUUGAUGUUGAAACUUCAUAGCUUUAGACCAUCUUUUUUUGUGUGGGUUUGUGUCAGCUAAAUCAUCAGUUUCAUUUGCUCAUUUAUAACUGUAAUACAUAAACUGGUUCAAAAGGAUUAUUAUACUUUUUUAGACAUUGUGCAGACUCCAUUUUAGUAGCUCCAAAAUAAGACAUUGGAGUUGAAUUAGGGGAAAACUGAUAUUAUGCAGGAGUGCUGUCCUCACUUUCACCAGAAAAUGUAUUUAAAUUGGAAUUUCCAAAUGUGAGAAAUCUGAAAGGAAUAAAAAAUGCUGGUCCUUAAUGUUAGCCGUAUGGUUGGUGUUAGCCAAAAUGAGGUUCAGGCUGUGAUGCUCUGUAGCCACUGUAUGACCUACCCAAAGGCAAUCAGAACACACUCCUUUCUUCCUUUUUUCUUUUCCUCCUUUUUUUUUUUAAACUAAUUGGCCCAUGUUUAGUUUACUGAAUGUCAUCUGGACUCAGUAAAAAGCAAGUGACCUGCAUUGAAUUAGUGUAAUUGUAAUACAAACAGAAUAUUGCAUAGUUUUGGUCUUAUACAGGAAAGGAGAAAGUUGGAAAGAUUUUUCUGUUUGAUAAAUAGAAACUGAAGAUAUGGGGAUCCAGGCCUGGUUCAUACUUGAUUUUACCUUUCAUGUCUCUUUGUAAGGUCAGUAUUUGGACUUUUAGGCAUUUUUCCUCUGUAAAAAAAAUAUUGGUUUUCGUUUUGAAAUUUACUAUGAAAGAAGUCUGCUUUUUGUAAAAAAAAAAAAAAAAAUCUUACAAAUGAUGUAUAUUAAGUCAUGGAUCUAAUUCAAUCAUAAGAAAGUUGGCAUUGUCCAAAAGGGAAGUACUUUAUGCACUACUAGGAUUGUCAGGAACUUGGCAUAUUAUUUUACCUUUAUCAUGACCAAUAUUGCAAGGACAUUUUCAAAUGCUAUUUUAUUAGUUUUGGAUAGUUUAUAUUUAUUACAUUCUGUGUCAGAUGGGUAAUAGCUCCAUUUGCUAAGGGAAAAAAAAGAGCUGACAAAUUUAAAUUUCAUUUUAAAUAAUGUGUUUUAAAUUUUAACUAUAUGACUUUGGUCUUAUAAUUAAUUAAUUUGAUUUUGAAAGUGUCAUUUUGAAAUGGAAUUAUUUGGCAUCCUGAAAUUCAUAGUCUGUGUAACUUAUACUUUUGUAAUAGGACACUGCCAGUACAAUAACUAUAAACAGGUUAGAUCUUCCUAUUAUAAUCUUGGAGUGCCUUGUACUUUUUGUCUUUAACACAUAUUUUUCCCAUAUGUACAGUGAGAAUAAUUAUAAUCUUUAUCCUGAGAAUUUGUUAUGAGGAUUGAAUGAGGUAAUUCAUGUUUCCUUGGGGAAUGCCCCACAGAGUUAAUUGAUAUUAUUAUCAUUGUUGUUCUGUUUUUUACUAUUUUAGAGGUGCUUUGGAAUCGUAGAAGGAAUGUAUGGCUUUAUUAGGAAGGGUUGUAUUAGGGAAAGCAUAAAAAAAUAGGUAAUGUACUAAAAACAUAUUGAAAGAUGAAUAAUUAGACAAUGCCUCAUGGCCAGAAGUAAGCCAUGCUGAGAAGAAGUUGUACUUUAUUUUGUAAAUAAUAGGGAAAGAUUGGAGUUUGAAGUAGGGGUUCAGCAGUCUGCAUUUGAACAAGCCCGCCAAGAAAUUCUGAUGCAUGGUAAAAUUUAAGAACAAUUGUUAUAUGUACAUAUUUAUAUAGAUGAGAACUAUUAUUAUAUGUACAUGUUUAUAUAGAUUAAAAAUGUAUGGAUGUUUUAAAUAA